UUAAAUUGAAGAGUUUGAUCAUGGCUCAGAUUGAACGCUGGCGGCAGGCCUAACACAUGCAAGUCGAACGGUAACAGGAAACAGCUUGCUGCUUCGCUGACGAGUGGCGGACGGGUGAGUAAUGUCUGGGAAACUGCCUGAUGGAGGGGGAUAACUACUGGAAACGGUAGCUAAUACCGCAUAACGUCGCAAGACCAAAGAGGGGGACCUUCGGGCCUCUUGCCAUCGGAUGUGCCCAGAUGGGAUUAGCUUGUUGGUGGGGUAACGGCUCACCAAGGCGACGAUCCCUAGCUGG
rnacentral:rRNA from 1 species